rnacentral:rRNA from 1 species
UACGUAGGGUGCGAGCGUUAAUCGGAAUUACUGGGCGUAAAGCGUGCGCAGGCGGUUUUGUAAGCCAGAUGUGAAAUCCCCGGGCUUAACCUGGGAAUGGCAUUUGGGACUGCAAGGCUCGAGUGCGGCAGAGGAGAUUGGAAUUCCUGGUGUAGCAGUGAAAUGCGUAGAUAUCAGGAGGAACACCGAUGGCGAAGGCAGGUCUCUGGGCUGACACUGACGCUCAUGCACGAAAGCGUGGGGAGCAAACAGG